CCUACGGGGGGCAGCAGUGGGGAAUAUUGCACAAUGGGGGAAACCCUGAUGCAGCGACGCCGCGUGAGCGAUGAAUGCCUUCGGGUCGUAAAGCCCUGUCCUAAGGGAAGAUAAUGACGGUACCUUAGGAGGAAGCCCCGGCUAACUACGUGCCAGCAGCCGCGGUAAUACGAAGGGGGCGGGGGUUGUCCGGAAUUACUGGGCGUAAAGGGUGCGUAGGCGGUGAUUUAAGUCAGAUGAGAAAGACCUCGGCAUAACCGAGGUAAGCAUUUGAAACUGCAUAACUUGAGUGCAGGAGAGGAGAGUGGAAUUCCGAGUGGAGCGGUGAAAUGCGUAGAUAUUAGGAAGAACACCAGUGGCGAAGGCGACUCUCUGGACUGUAACUGACGCUGAGGCACGAAAGCGUGGGGAGCGAACAGGAUUAGAUACCCUUGUAGUC
rnacentral:rRNA from 1 species